UACGGGGGGAGCAAGCGUUGUUCGGAUUUACUGGGCGUAAAGGGCGCGUAGGCGGUCAGCACAAGUCAGUUGUGAAAUCUCCGGGCUUAACCCGGAAAGGUCAACCGAUACUGCAGGGCUAGAGUGCAGAAGGGGCAACUGGAAUUCUCGGUGUAGCGGUGAAAUGCGUAGAUAUGUGAAAGAACACCGGUGGUGAAGACGGUUUACUGGGCUGAUACUGACGCUGAGGCGCGAAAGCAUGGGG
rnacentral:rRNA from 1 species